GAGGUUGUGGCUCAGUGGUAGAGUGCUUGCCUAGCAUGCAAGUGGCACUGGGUUUGCUCCUCAGCACCACA
rnacentral:tRNA from 1 species